rnacentral:rRNA from 1 species
CAGUCGAGGGGCAGCAUGACUGUAGCAAUACAGUUGAUGGCGACCGGCAAACGGGUGCGGAACACGUACACAACCUUCCUUUAAGCGGGGAAUAGCCCGGGGAAACCCGGAUUAAUACCCCAUAGUAUAUUGAAGAGGCAUCUCUUUAUUAUUAAAGAUUUAUCACUUGAAGAUGGGUGUGCGGCUGAUUAGCUAGUUGGCGGGGUAACGGCCCACCAAGGCAACGAUCAGUAACUGGUGUGAGAGCACGACCAGUCACACGGGCACUGAGACACGGGCCCGACUCCUACGGGAGGCAGCAGUAAGGAAUAUUGGUCAAUGGACGCAAGUCUGAACCAGCCAUGCCGCGUGGAGGAUGAAGGUCCUCUGGAUUGUAAACUUCUUUUAUCUGGGACGAAAAAAGGUUUUUCUAGACCGACUGACGGUACCAGAUGAAUAAGCACCGGCUAACUCCGUGCCAGCAGCCGCG